rnacentral:lncRNA from 1 species
AUGCAACAGCUCGAGCUUGGCACCGGAUCCACCUGGCAUCAGUACAGCACCCAAGAAACGGCCUGCGUUUCCUCAGCUCACGUGUCCCGGGCUUUGCGCUCAGUAGCAACGCAGUGGUUGCCCCUCGCACGGGGACAAGGUCCGCGAGAGCUUUGCCUCUGCUGGCCACGCGCCCAGGGUGCACGGUGUUCGGCCUCCAGCAUCCGCUCCCUCUUGUGGCAGGCUGCUUGUGCAGUCCAGCACCCGUCCAUUCACAAACACCAGACGUGUUUUACACGGCCCUGCUUACAUGGUUUUAGAAAUAGGUGCUCAUCAUCACAGACUAAAUUAGGUUGGAAGGGAUUUCUGGAGGGAUUUCAUCUAGUCCAGCGCCAGGGAGCUAGCUGCAAAGUCAGAUCAGGUUGCUCAGGCCCUUGCCCACGCGAGGUUUCCGUGUCUCCAAGAAAAGGGCUUACACAGCCUCCCCAGAUCCCUUUUCCAGCACUUGCUCACUCACAUAGUGAGCUUUUUUUCCCUUAUAUCCAACUGCAAUCUGCCUUGCUGCAACCUGGGAUUGUCACCCUCAUCCUUUUGCUGACCCGCUCCAAGAAGAGUCUUUUAGAUCUGAACUUGCAGGAAACAAGCCGUACAGUCUCGGUCUGGUGAAUGGCUGAAGCUGCCACAGUUUCGUGACCCUACUUCAAUCAGCCUCAGUCCAAACAGUUCAGCUGAUGACAAAUCCUGUUGGGAUACGAACAUACAGAACUGCACUCACCGACACCAAUUACUAAGUGCAAAAGGAAGAAAAAGGAGGACAAAGAUGAAUGUUUCUCACCACAGAGACAGGUUUUAUCUUCUCCAGUUGUGAAAAGAGAAGAGUCUUCAGGAAGCACCUUAAUAUGUCACAAGAGCUUUGCAGCCAGAGGACACGAAGCUGUAGCUGAAAGUUUCCUACAGCUGAAAGCGAUGCCACGGGGAGGGCAGACACCUUACAGGGAAGACACAAAUGAGGACGAUGCUAGUAUCUGCCAGUGACUUCUGUCAACAACUUUUGCCACAAAUACCAAAGUUGUCAUGGGUUCCCCUGGCUAAAUACUGUACUCUGCAAUGUGCCGGAAGGAAGUUGGAGCAAGCAAGCAAGGAAAAGAAGUUGCAAUAAGCUGAUCUACAAAGAGCAGAAUUAUGCUCAUUUUAAAAAACUACUGUAUGAGAAAUUACUGUGCUACAGAAUUAAUGUAUUACAAGUGAUAAGGCCCAAACAGUGAAGCAAACCA